rnacentral:rRNA from 1 species
GACAGAGGUGCCGAGCGUUAGGCGGAAUCACUGGGCUUAAAGCGUGUGUAGGCGGGGCCGUAAGUGCCUUGUGAAAUCCCACGGCUCAACCGUGGAACUGCUUGGUAUACUGCGGGUCUUGAGCCACCUAGGGGCAAGUGGAACAAACGGUGGAGCGGUGAAAUGCGUAGAUAUCGUUUGGAACGCCAAUGGUGAAAACAACUUGCUGGGGGUGUGCUGACGCUGAGACACGAAAGCCAGGGGAGCAAACGGG